rnacentral:rRNA from 1 species
UACAGAGGCCUCGAGCGUUAGGCGGAAUCACUGGGCUUAAAGCGUGUGUAGGCGGACUUCUAAGUACCUUGUGAAAUCCCACGGCUCACCCGUGGAACUGCUGGGUAUACUGGUCGUCUUGAGCCUUCUAGGGGCUACCGGAACAAAUGGUGGAGCGGUGAAAUGCGUAGAUAUCAGGAGGAACACCGGUGGUGUAGACGGCUUUCUGGACCGUAACUGACGCUGAGACACGAAAGCGUGGGUAGCAAACAGG